CAUACAAACGAUCUAUAUUCUGUAAGACAUACAUCAUUUUUAAGAAACAACAUACUUUAUUUUUGUGUUACUACGACGACUAAAAUGAAAAUCGCAGUUCUCCUUCUUCUGGUGUGUUUUGCAAAUCUCUGUGCUCUAUCAGACAGUUGUUGCAUGACGAGUGAAUACUGUUCACACCAUAAAGAUUGUUGCUCAUCAAGAGCUUGCAACAGCUUUUCGCAUUUCAUUUCUAUCGAACGACACCACACUCGUCAUCAAGUUCAAUAGC